AGAGCUAUAACCAAAUAAUUAUUCUUUAUUAUUUUACUAUUAAAUCCACUUUAAAAUUAUAAAUUUCACAUAAUUUACCAUAUAACUAUGCCUUAUUGUAAUCCAUUUCUACUUAAUUAUAAACUGCACCUUGACCUGAUGUAAUUAAUAUUAAUUAAUAAAGAAAAUAACCCUAAUAAGAUAUUCUGACAACGGCGGUAUACAAACUUUAAAUUAAGAAAGGUUCAACGUGGACUAUCGAUUACAGAACAGAUUCCUCUAAAUAGACUAAAACACCGCCAAAUUCUUUAAGUUUCAAGAAAUUAACUAUUACUACUCAAGCAUUUAAAUUUUACACUUUAAAUAAUAGGGUAUCUAAUCCUAGUUUAUUAAUAAAGUUUUAUAGUUUAAAUUAAUUUAAUUCUAAAAACUGGAAAAAAUUUAAAAUUUUACCUAAUAAAUUAAAUUUAAUUUUUUUUUUAUUUAUCACAUUUAACUAACACUAAAAAAUUUUAUUUGCAUUAUUUG
rnacentral:rRNA from 1 species